rnacentral:rRNA from 1 species
CCUACGGGUGGCUGCAGUGGGGGAUAUUGCACAAUGGGGGGAACCCUGAUGCAGCGACGCCGCGUGGGUGAAGGAGGUCUUCGGCUUGUAAAGCCCUAUCGGCAGGGAAGAUGCAAGACGUUACUUGAGUAUGAGGCCCGGGCUAACUACGUGCCAGCAGCGGCGGUAAGACGGAGGGGGCGAGGGUUACCCGGAUUCACGGGGGGUAAAGGGAGCGUAGACGGCAAAGCAAGCCAGAGGUGAAAGCCCGGGGCUCAACCUCGGAACUGCCCUUGGAACUGCAUGGCUGGAGUGCGGGAGGGGCAGGCGGAAUUCCUGGUGUAGCGGUAAAAUGCGUAGAUAUCAGGAGGAACACCGGCGGCGAAGGCGGCCUGCUGGACCGCGACUGACGUUGAGGCUCGAAAGCGUGGGGAGCGAACAGGAUUAGAUACCCCAGUAGUC